GAAGCCGGCACGGGAGGUUCGAUUUUGCCGGGGGCUGAACUUACCUCAGCUUUUGGAGGCGUGGAGAACUCGCGCUGUUCUGCGUCUCUUGCGGAGUGAAUUCGAGCAUGGUACCAGAUAUGACCUCCCUGAACUGGUUGCUUGCAAGAGACUUUCUUCAGAGAUUUCAGGUUACCCUCAAGAUACAGAAGCCAAAUUAUGGAGUCCACAAAAAGUAGUGAGAAAUCCAGAACAGCCUCCUGGAAUCUUCACUCUGGGCCAUUCUUGAUGCUCAGCACCACCCCAGAUCUCCAGCUUCCUAGUAGUCGGACCAUGUCUUCUUCAUCCCUGUGUCUUUCAGUGCA